UACAGCCAUAUCAUGUUAAAACACUUGUUCCUUAUGACCACUGACGUGAAGCAAUGUUGAGCCUGGUCAGUACUCAGAUGGGUGACUGCUUCGGAAUAUCAGGUGCUAU